rnacentral:rRNA from 1 species
UACGAAGGGGGCUAGCGUUGUUCGGAAUUACUGGGCGUAAAGCGCACGUAGGCGGACUACUAAGUCAGGGGUGAAAUCCCGGGGCUCAACCCCGGAACUGCCUUUGAUACUGGUAGUCUCGAGUCCGGAAGAGGUGAGUGGAAUUCCGAGUGUAGAGGUGAAAUUCGUAGAUAUUCGGAGGAACACCAGUGGCGAAGGCGGCUCACUGGUCCGGUACUGACGCCGAGGUGCGAAAGCGUGGGGAGCAAACAGG